AACCCAUGUUGUGGACACUUCCGCAAGAGGUCAUUGAAUCAUUCCCAAGUCUGUAAUAAAGAUUCAAGCAUCAACUGAACAAAUGAAGAUAUCUCAUUACGAAGCUU